UCUUAUGUACUUACCUACAAUGUUAAUGCAUUGGAUUCCAUCACAACUCUAUAGUUAAGUGCACUUGGGCUAGAGUAGUACUGGGAUGGGUGACCUCCCAAGAAGUCCUAGUGCAACACAUAUGCU
rfam:Picea glauca, whole genome shotgun sequence.